rnacentral:rRNA from 1 species
UACGUAGGGUGCAAGCGUUAAUCGGAAUUACUGGGCGUAAAGCGUGCGCAGGCGGUUCUAUAAGACAGGUGUGAAAUCCCCGGGCUCAACCUGGGAACUGCAUUUGUGACUGUAGAGCUGGAGUACGGCAGAGGGGGAUGGAAUUCCGCGUGUAGCAGUGAAAUGCGUAGAUAUGCGGAGGAACACCGAUGGUGAAGGCAAUCCCCUGGGCCUGUACUGACGCUCAUGCACGAAAGCGUGGGGAGCAAACAGG